UGGUGGAGUGAUUUGUCUGGUUAAUUCCGUUAACGAACGAGACCUCAGCCUACUAACUAGUUUUACUAAUUUCGAUUGGUGUAGACUUCUUAGAGGGACUAUUGGUGAUUAGCCAGUGGAAGUUUGAGGCAAUAACA
rnacentral:rRNA from 1 species